GAGUCCUGUCCUGAACACAUCUACGUGCCCAAAUUCAGUUAUACUCAUAGCGCCACCUGCUGGCAACAGGAAGUGUCAUGUUUUACGCUGUAACGAACUACUCCUAGAAAUUUAAUGACAUCAACAUUUUUUUUUGGUCAGACUAAUCUAAAGGCCUUUGCGAUGUGAAUUUGUGAAGAUCUUGAGUUUUCGUUAAAGGAUGUGUCAAUGGCGCCGUGACAAAGUUCGAUGUCUCGCCAUG